rnacentral:lncRNA from 1 species
GACCUUUCUGAGCUCAGCGAGUCAUAUGUAAAACUGAGGGGUUUGAUCAACAAUCUUAAAAGUCAUUUCCAUCUCUAAAUAAUAUAAUCCUAUGUGAAACUCCAGAACGAGAUUACAUAGUAAUGUGUCUAGCAGAAACCAAUUUUCUAUUCUUCUAUUUAUAGGCAAAAAUUUUUUUUAUCCAACUGUAAUAUGGGAAGAGUUUUUCUUUGCCCUUCAAAUCCCCCUGUGCAACUUCACUCAUCACACAGUUUGACAGAAAUGGAACCUCUUUUUAUCAGAGAAAGCUCUAGGACACAAGAAUUGAUGCCAAUACUGAAAGAGAUGGUUUUUAAAAAAAAGGAACAAAGGAAUGAUCUGACUACCCACAAAAGCUGACAGAUUUGCAAAACUAUUGACUCAUUUGAGAAUAAGACUGGGAAGUUGAGAGUCAAGUUACAGAGAGGCCAAGGUCCAAGAAUGCCAGCUGAUUAUCCUAUGGAGUAGAGUCCCUGACUGCAGAGUGAAAUAGAGUGAAGACAAAAAGUGGUAAAAGAAAGGACACUGGACCCCUAAAGGUAUGAG